CAGAGUUCGUGCCCUUCGGGGUAGACCUCCCACCCUAUGUUAUACAUACCAAUGUUGCUUCGGCGGGCACUUCGCACGGCCGGCUUCGGCUGCCGCGCGGCCCGCCAAAGGACCCCUAACUCUGAUGUAUUGUGUUGUCUGAGUACUAUAUAAUAGUUA
rnacentral:misc_RNA from 1 species